rnacentral:rRNA from 1 species
UACGGGGGGGGCAAGCGUUGUUCGGAAUUACUGGGCGUAAAGGGCUCGUAGGCGGCCAACUAAGUCAGACGUGAAAUCCCUCGGCUUAACCGGGGAACUGCGUCUGAUACUGGAUGGCUUGAGAUUGGGAGAGGGACGCGGAAUUCCAGGUGUAGCGGUGAAAUGCGUAGAUAUCUGGAGGAACACCGGUGGCGAAGGCGGCGUCCUGGACCAAUACUGACACUGAGGAGCGAAAGCCAGGGGAGCAAACGGGG